rnacentral:rRNA from 1 species
UACGGAGGAUCCAAGCGUUAUCCGGAUUUAUUGGGUUUAAAGGGUGCGUAGGCGGCAUAUUAAGUCAGGGGUGAAAGACGGUGGCUCAACCAUCGCAGUGCCCUUGAUACUGAUGAGCUUGAAUACACUUGAGGUAGGCGGAAUGUGACAAGUAGCGGUGAAAUGCAUAGAUAUGUCACAGAACACCAAUUGCGAAGGCAGCUUACUAAGGUGCAAUUGACGCUGAGGCACGAAAGCGUGGGGAUCAAACAGG